rnacentral:rRNA from 1 species
AGGUAAGCUACUAAGAGCGAAUGGUGGAUGCCUUGACUGGUAAAGGCGAUGAAGGACGUACUAGACUGCGAUAAGCUACGGGGAGCUGUCAAGAAGCUUUGAUCCGUAGAUUUCCGAAUGGGGCAACCCAAUGUAUAGAGAUAUACAUUACCUAUAUAGGAGCGAACGAGGGGAAUUGAAACAUCUUAGUACCCUCAGGAAAAGAAAUCAAUAGAGAUUGCGUCAGUAGCGGCGAGCGAAAGCGCAAGAGGGCAAACCCAGUGCUUGCACUGGGGGUUGUAGGACUGCAAUGUGCAAGAGGUGAGUUUAGCAGAACAUUCUGGAAAGUAUAGCCAUAGAGGGUGAUAGUCCCGUAUGCGAAAAACAAACCUUAGCUAGCAGUAUCCUGAGUAGGGCGGGACACGAGAAAUCCUGUCUGAAGCUGGGUCGACCACGAUCCAACCCUAAAUACUAAUACCAGAUCGAUAGUGCACAAGUACCGUGAGGGAAAGGUGAAAAGAACUGAGGUGAUCAGAGUGAAAUAGAACCUGAAACCAUUUGCUUACAAUCAUUCAGAGCCCUAUGUAGCAAUACAGGGUGAUGGACUGCCUUUUGCAUAAUGAGCCUGCGAGUUGUGGUGUCUGGCAAGGUUAAGCAAACGCGAAGCCGUAGCGAAAGCGAGUCUGAAUAGGGCGCUUAGUCAGAUGCUGCAGACCCGAAACGAAGUGAUCUAUCCAUGAGCAAGUUGAAGCUAGUGUAAGAACUAGUGGAGGACUGAACCCAUAGGCGUUGAAAAGCCCCGGGAUGACUUGUGGAUAGGGGUGAAAGGCCAAUCAAACUUCGUGAUAGCUGGUUCUCUCCGAAAUAUAUUUAGGUAUAGCGUUGUGUCGUAAUAUAAGGGGGUAGAGCACUGAAUGGGCUAGGGCAUACACCAAUGUACCAAACCCUAUCAAACUCCGAAUACCUUAUAUGUAAUCACAGCAGUCAGGCGGCGAGUGAUAAAAUCCGUCGUCAAGAGGGAAACAACCCAGACUACCAGCUAAGGUCCCUAAAUCUUACUUAAGUGGAAAACGAUGUGAAGUUACUUAAACAACCAGGAGGUUGGCUUAGAAGCAGCCAUCCUUUAAAGAAAGCGUAAUAGCUCACUGGUCUAGUGAUUUUGCGCGGAAAAUAUAACGGGGCUAAAGUAAGUACCGAAGCUGUAGACUUGCGCACAACUUAGAUUAUUUAAGUUUAGAAUAUGAGAAACUAAGUUAUAUGUUUAGUUAUAUUUUUACUGAUUUUUAUAGAGUAAAGAUAGAAAUAAAACUUAGUAAAAUCAGUAAAAAUAUUCUUAGACUAAAGUUAAGUAGUUUAAGUUGUGUGCAAGUGGUAGGAGAGCGUUCUAUUUGCGUCGAAGGUAUACCGGUAAGGAGUGCUGGAGCGAAUAGAAGUGAGCAUGCAGGCAUGAGUAGCGAUAAUUAAUGUGAGAAUCAUUAACGCCGUAAACCCAAGGUUUCCUACGCGAUGCUCGUCAUCGUAGGGUUAGUCGGGUCCUAAGUCGAGUCCGAAAGGGGUAGACGAUGGCAAAUUGGUUAAUAUUCCAAUACCAACAUUAGUGUGCGAUGGAAGGACGCUUAGGGCUAAGGGGGCUAGCGGAUGGAAGUGCUAGUCUAAGGUCGUAGGAGGUUAUACAGGCAAAUCCGUAUAACAAUACUCCGAGAACUGAAAGGCUUUUUGAAGUCUUCGGAUGGAUAGAAGAACCCCUGAUGCCGUCGAGCCAAGAAAAGUUUCUAAGUUUAGCUAAUGUUGCCCGUACCGUAAACCGACACAGGUGGGUGGGAUGAGUAUUCUAAGGCGCGUGGAAGAACUCUCUUUAAGGAACUCUGCAAAAUAGCACCGUAUCUUCGGUAUAAGGUGUGGUUCGCUUCGUAUUAGGAUUUACUCCGAAAGCGAAGAAACUUACAACAAAGAGUCCCUCCCGACUGUUUACCAAAAACACAGCACUCUGCUAACUCGUAAGAGGAUGUAUAGGGUGUGACGCCUGCCCGGUGCUCGAAGGUUAAUUGAUGGGGUUAGCAUUAGCGAAGCUCUUGAUCGAAGCCCGAGUAAACGGCGGCCGUAACUAUAACGGUCCUAAGGUAGCGAAAUUCCUUGUCGGUUAAAUACCGACCUGCAUGAAUGGCGUAACGAGAUGGGAGCUGUCUCAAAGAGGGAUCCAGUGAAAUUGUAGUGGAGGUGAAAAUUCCUCCUACCCGCGGCAAGACGGAAAGACCCCGUGGACCUUUACUACAGCUUGACACUGCUAUUUGGAUAAGAAUGUGCAGGAUAGGUGGGAGGCUUUGAGUAUAUGACGCCAGUUGUAUAUGAGCCAUUGUUGAGAUACCACUCUUUCUUAUUUGGGUAGCUAACCAGCUUGAGUUAUCCUCAAGUGGGACAAUGUCUGGUGGGUAGUUUGACUGGGGCGGUCGCCUCCCAAAUAAUAACGGAGGCUUACAAAGGUUGGCUCAGAACGGUUGGAAAUCGUUCGUAGAGUAUAAAGGUAUAAGCCAGCUUAACUGCAAGACAUACAAGUCAAGCAGAGACGAAAGUCGGUCUUAGUGAUCCGGUGGUUCUGUGUGGAAGGGCCAUCGCUCAAAGGAUAAAAGGUACCCCGGGGAUAACAGGCUGAUCUCCCCCAAGAGCUCACAUCGACGGGGAGGUUUGGCACCUCGAUGUCGGCUCAUCGCAUCCUGGGGCUGGAGCAGGUCCCAAGGGUAUGGCUGUUCGCCAUUUAAAGCGGUACGCGAGCUGGGUUCAGAACGUCGUGAGACAGUUCGGUCCCUAUCUGCCGUGGGCGUAAGAAGAUUGAAGAGAUUUGACCCUAGUACGAGAGGACCGGGUUGAACAAACCACUGGUGUAGCUGUUGUUCU